CCACCGCCUUGCUGACAGUGACUUGUGUGUCCCCCAGGAACUCACGACGACGAUGUUGUGGAGGCCGGUGGGAGUGAGAAGACUGAGGCAAAGCCCCGGGCUGGGGGACAUGAGGACGAGGCGGCCCCAGUACCUGAGGUGGAGGUGGAGGAGGAGGCGGGCCAGCCCCGUGAAAAUGGCCAGGAGGAGUCCUUAGCCAUCGCCUGGGCUGAGCCGGAAGACGAGCCUGGCCCCAAGGAACUCACGACGACGAUGUUGUGGAGGCCGGUGGGAGUGAGAAGACUGAGGCAAAGCCCCGGGCUGGGGGACAUGAGGACGAGGCGGCCCCAGUACCUGAGGUGGAGGUGGAGGAGGAGGCGGGCCAGCCCCGUGAAAAUGGCCAGGAGGAGUCCUUAGCCAUCGCCUGGGCUGAGCCGGAAGACGAGCCUGGCCCCAAGGUAAGCUCACCUUUCUUGAUGUGAGGUUGGAAAAGGUGCCUCCUU
rnacentral:lncRNA from 1 species